CCUACGGGAGGCUGCCUGAACCAGCCAUCCCGCGUGAAGGAAGAAUGCGCUAUGCGUUGUAAACUUCUUUUUCAGGGGGAUAAAAUUCUGUAUGUAUACAGGACUGAAGGUACCCUGAGAAUAAGCAUCGGCUAACUCCGUGCCAGCAGCCGCGGUAAUACGGAGGAUGCGAGCGUUAUCCGGAUUUAUUGGGUUUAAAGGGUGCGUAGGCGGAAUAAUAAGUCAGUGGUGAAACCCUGCAGCUUAACUGUAGACUUGCCAUUGAUACUGUUUUUCUUGAGUAUGGUCAAGGCAGGCGGAAUGUGUAAUGUAGCGGUGAAAUGCUUAGAUAUUACACAGAACACCGAUAGCGAAGGCAGCUUGCUGGGCCGUUACUGACGCUGAUGCACGAAAGCGUGGGGAUCGAACA
rnacentral:rRNA from 1 species